GGGCGGUGUGUACAAAGGGCAGGGACGUAAUCAACGCAAGCUGAUGACUUGCGCUUACUAGGAAUUCCUCGUUGAAGAGCAAUAAUUACAAUGCUCUAUCCCCAGCACGACGGAGUUUCACAAGAUUACCAAGACCUCUCGGCCAAGGUUAGACUCGCUGGCUCCGUCAGUGUAGCGCGCGUGCGGCCCAGAACGUCUAAGGGCAUCACAGACCUGUUAUUGCCUCAAACUUCCAUCGGCUUGAAACCGAUAGUCCCUCUAAGAAGCGGACAACCAGCAAAUGCUAGCACCACUAUUUAGUAGGUUAAGGUCUCGUUCGUUAUCGCAAUUAAGCAGACAAAUCACUCCACCAACUAAGAACGGCCAUGCACCACCACCCACAAAAUCAAGAAAGAGCUCUCAAUCUGUCAAUCCUUAUUGUGUCUGGACCUGGUGAGUUUCCCCGUGUUGAGUCAAAUUAAGCCGCAGGCUCCACUCCUGGUGGUGCCCUUCCGUCAAUUCCUUUAAGUUUCAGCCUUGCGACCAUACUCCCCCCAGAACCCAAAGACUUUGAUUUCCCGUAAGGUGCCGAGUGGGUCAUUAAAAAAACACCACCCGAUCCCUAGUCGGCAUAGUUUAUGGUUAAGACUACGACGGUAUCUGAUCAUCUUCGAUCCCCUAACUUUCGUUCUUGAUUAAUGAAAACGUCCUUGGCAAAUGCUUUCGCAGUAGUUAGUCUUCAAUAAAUCCAAGAAUUUCACCUCUGACAAUUGAAUACUGAUGCCCCCGACCGUCCCUAUUAAUCAUUACGAUGGUCCUAGAAACCAACAAAAUAGAACCAAACGUCCUAUUCUAUUAUUCCAUGCUAAUAUAUUCGAGCAAUACGCCUGCUUUGAACACUCUAAUUUUUUCAAAGUAAAAAUCCUGGUUCGCCAAGAGCCACAAGGACCCAAGGUUAGCCAGAAGGAAAGGUCCGCUUGGGAUUCCAGUACACGAAAAAAUCGGACCGGCCAAACAGACCCAAAG
rnacentral:rRNA from 1 species